rnacentral:rRNA from 1 species
AGAUUAAGUUAUUAAGGGCGCACGGUGGAUGCCUUGGCACUAGAAGCCGAUGAAGGACGUUACUAACGACGAUAUGCUUUGGGGAGCUGUAAGUAAGCUUUGAUCCAGAGAUUUCCGAAUGGGGAAACCCAGCAUGAGUUAUGUCAUGUUAUCGAUAUGUGAAUACAUAGCAUAUCAGAAGGCACACCCGGAGAACUGAAACAUCUUAGUACCCGGAGGAAGAGAAAGAAAAUUCGAUUCCCUUAGUAGCGGCGAGCGAAACGGGAAGAGCCCAAACCAACAAGCUUGCUUGUUGGGGUUGUAGGACACUCUGUACGGAGUUACAAAGGACGACAUUAGACGAAUCAUCUGGAAAGAUGAAUCAAAGAAGGUAAUAAUCCUGUAGUCGAAAAUGUUGUCUCUCUUGAGUGGAUCCUGAGUACGACGGAGCACGUGAAAUUCCGUCGGAAUCUGGGAGGACCAUCUCCUAAGGCUAAAUACUCUCUAGUGACCGAUAGUGAACCAGUACCGUGAGGGAAAGGUGAAAAGCACCCCGGAAGG